GUUCACCUGACUUCCCCUGUUCACAGCAUGACAGGGAGGAGAAGUCGACUGGUUUAAAACCACUACGUCAAGGAAAGUUCAAAUCAAAUUAAAAAAAAAAAUAUUUGUAUAGCCCAAUAUCACAAAUUAUACAUUUGUCUCAGUGUUUACAGACUGUACAGGUUACGACACCCUCUGUCCUUAGACCCUCUGUCCUUACACCCUCUGUCUUUAGACCCUCUGUCCUUAGACCCUCUGUCCUUAGACCCCUCUGUCUUUACCCUCUGUCCUCAGACCCUCUGUCUUUAGACCCUCUGUCCUUAGACCCUCUGUCCUCAGACCCUCUGUCCUUAGACCCUCUGUCCUUAGACCCUCUGUCCUCAGAGAGAGACUGAGGAGGGAUCCCUCUCCCAGGACGGACAGACGUGCAGUAGAUGUCGUGUGUACAGGAUAAACAACAUAGUACAAAUACAACAUUUGACAGAAAUGAUGUUGUGUUGAAAAAAAGAAAGUUUGGAUGAAUCCAGGAAAAUGUCAAUAAGGCUUCCUGGUGUCCAGCAGGACCAGAGCAGCAGGCGCAGCCACGAUUCCUGAUCCUGAGGGAGGGGAGGAGAGAGGAAGAGGAGGAAAGUUAGGGACAUAAAACAUAAC
rnacentral:lncRNA from 1 species